UCAAAAUAUUUGUUAUUUUUUUAUUAUAUCAAAGAUAUUAAACUUCAUUAGAUAAGAGUGUUACAACCUGAGAUACAUCAAAUCCAUAGGCUAUACAUAAAAAAAAAUAAAGCAAGGUCUUUAAGUCCAAGAAAGAAUAAGCUAAAGAGAUCCAACCCUGAAGACCAAACUCGAAAAAGACCCAAAACAUGACUUAAAAAAUUCUUCAGGAUGCACCGAUGUAUCGCUACUCUCUCUGUCAUUUUCGACUGCCAUUUCUGAUAACCAAUUGGUUCGGAGGAGACGUCUUUCUCAAUAAUAGCCGAAAAAGCUUAUGUACAAAUUGAAGAUCAGAGAGUAAAGCCAACCUCAGUAUCAAACCCACAGAUCCCUAAAACGAAGAGGAGAUAAAACCGGUGUAAAAAUCACGUACAAGCUCCGAAUAGUGUAGAAACGAUGGAAAACCAACAACUAACAGAAAGGCAAGAUGGAGCUUCCUCUAAAGCUCCUCGUCACCACUAUUUAGGCCGAUGAAGCUACCUCUAGAAAGAUCCAGACCAGCAAUAGAAAGGAGAUGUUUUUCUACAUUGAUGGCAAGUUAGUUCCGCCUUCUUAUCGAUAGCAUGCAAGCAAGAAAAGAGCAAGUUAGAGAGACUAUCUCCUAAAAGAAAACAAAAGGAAAAAAAUAAAUGAAACAAACAACAAGGCAGAACCAAAGUUUCACUCCCUCAUCAUAGAAGCAUCGCUUGCCAAAAACAAAUACAAACAAAAAUAUAUACAACCUCUUCUAGACAGAGGAGGAAGAGAAAUCCACAUUCGGAAAGUGAAGGAGAGUACCCCUUCUCGGCGGAGUAGGGGCGGCCACGGACUCCAGCAUGAAAAGAGACAUAUGCCUCAAGGAACCCUCACAACUCUCAUGGAGAAAACUCCCUCUAGCUCUAAGCGAACUCUUUUUUGGUGUAAGAUAAUUUCUUACGGCCAAAACAUUCGGUCUAGACCUUUUUUUGACUUUUUUUUUUCGACUUUACGAUUUGUUUUUUUUUUGCGAGCUCAAAGUGACAUUUAAUGGACAUUUUACCUAAAAAUUAACCCAUGAUAAAGGGGAGAUAAAACAAGUGCAGUUUUUAUUUGUCCAAUGGAGUGCGCUGUACGC
rnacentral:lncRNA from 1 species